rnacentral:piRNA from 1 species
UUUUCAAACCCAUCUCGUUAUUCUUGC